rnacentral:rRNA from 1 species
CCUACGGGUGGCAGCAGUGAGGAAUAUUGGUCAAUGGUCGCGAGACUGAACCAGCCAAGCCGCGUGAGGGAUGAAGGUACAGAGUAUCGUAAACCUCUUUUGUCAGGGAACAAAGGCGGGGACGUGUCCCCGGUUGAGUGUACCUGACGAAAAAGCAUCGGCUAACUCCGUGCCAGCAGCCGCGGUAAUACGCAGGGUGCGUGCGUUAUCCGGGUUUAUUGGGUGUAAAGGGUGCGCAGGGGGUCUGAUAAGUCCGCGGGCAAAGCCCGGGGCUCAACCCCGGGCCCGCCGUUGAAACUGGCAGUCUCGAGUUGGAGAGAGGUAGGCGGAAUGCGCGGUGUAGCGGUGAAAUGCGUAGAUAUCGCGCAGAACUCCGGUUGCGAAGGCAGCAUGCCGGAUGCAAACUGACGGUGAGGCACGAAAGCGUGGGUAUCGAACAGGAUUAGAUACCCCUGUAGUC